GCUUUGAGAAGCUAAUUAAGCAUCGGUCUUGUAAAUCGAAAACAAGAUGAACCUCUCCAAAGCU
rnacentral:tRNA from 1 species